GACGAACGCUGGCGGCGCGCUUAACACAUGCAAGUCGAACGGAAAGGCCUGCUUUCCCUUGUGGAUUGCGGGUACUCGAGUGGCGAACGGGUGAGUAACACGUGAGUGAUCUGCCCCCAACUUGGGUAUAAGCCUGGGAAACUGGGUCUAAUUCCCGAUAGGACUGCAGGGUGGUGCCUGUGGUGGAAAACGAUUUUCUAGUGGUUGGGGAUGAGCUCGCGGCCUAUCAGCUUGUUGGUGGGGUAAUGGCCUACCAAGGCGGCGACGGGUAGCCGGCCUGGGAGGGUGGACGGCCACAUUGGGACUGAGAUACGGCCCAGACGCCUACGGGAGGCAGCAGUGGGGAAUAUUGCACAAUGGGCGGAAGCCUGAUGCAGCGACGCCGCGUGGGGGAUGACGGCCUUCGGGUUGUAAACUCCUUGCGACCGCGAGGAAGCCACCUGGUUGGAAGGGUGGUGACGGUAGUGGUAGAAGAAGCACCGGCUAACUACGUG
rnacentral:rRNA from 1 species